rnacentral:rRNA from 1 species
UACAGAGGCUACGAGCGUUGUUCGGAAUUACUGGGCGUAAAGGGCGCGUAGGCGGCCUUGUAAGUCAGAUGUGAAAGCCUGGGGCUCAACCCCAGAAGUGCAUUUGAAACUACAAGGCUUGAGUGCAGUAGAGAAUGGCGGAAUUCCCAGUGGAGAGGUGAAAUUCGUAGAUAUUGGGAGGAACACCGGUGGCGAAGGCGGCCAUUUGGGCUGUAACUGACGCUGAGGCGCGAGAGCGUGGGUAGCAAACAGG